UACAGAGGGGGCAAGCGUUGUUCGGAAUUACUGGGCGUAAAGGGCGCGUAGGCGGCCUUCUAAGUCGAACGUGAAAUCCCCGGGCUCAACCCGGGAACUGCGUCCGAUACUGGAAGGCUUGAAUCCGGGAGAGGGGUGCGGAAUUCCAGGUGUAGCGGUGAAAUGCGCAGAUAUCAGGAGGAACACCGAUGGCGAAGGCAGGUCUCUGGGCAUUAACUGACGCUGAGGAGCGAAAGCAUGGGGAGCGAACAGG
rnacentral:rRNA from 1 species